rnacentral:misc_RNA from 1 species
AUCUGUCUAUCUUUACCCUUGUCGUUGCCAAAUAUAUGAAGUGAAGGAACAUUGAUUGAACCUUGCUGGCAAUUGUUCAUAUUAACAGCAAACCCCGAGCACAGAAUCGCAAAUCUGAAUUCCAUCUCUCCUUUUAGCUUCUGCUGAUGUAGGCAAACUAAAGCGGCCAUUGCAGCUCCUUGUGAAAAUCCCAAUAUCCCAUCAAAAGGGCCUGUUUUCGAAUAUAAGUCUUUUACAUAUGCAAUUGAUUUGUCGAAACCUUCAGUUUGCUUCUGGUACUGAAGAGGAUCAAAUGGACUAUCAGCUAUCUUCCAGUCAGA